rfam:Papilio xuthus contig13499, whole genome shotgun sequence.
UCGGUGUAACAAGGUGGCCUAGCAGUGUGUUUUCUAGAAGACUUGCACCCUGUCAGACCAUACUUGUUUCAACG